AUGGAGCACGCAGCCACCACAGGCCCCAGGCCUGGACCUCCCUCUCGGCGGGUGGAGAAUGUUGUGCUACGAGCCAAGGACUGGCUGCCAGGAGCUCCUGGGGGCACCGCAGUGUGGGCCACCAGCUUGGAAGCAGAGGUCCCACCAGAUCUAGCGCUCAAUAAGGAGCAGCAGCUGCAGAUCUCCAAGGAGCUGGUCGACAUUCAGAUCACAACCCACCACCUACAUGAGCAGCACGAGGCUGAAAUCUUCCAGCUGAAGAGUGAGAUCCUUCGGCUGGAGAGCCGGGUACUGGAGCUGGAGCUGCGAGGAGAUGGCACCAGCCAGGGCUGUGCAGUCCCAGUGGAGUCUGACCCCAGGCACCCCCGGGCAGCAGCCCAAGAGCUCAGACACAAAGCCCAGGUGCAGCCCAAGAACACCAUGAAUCCCGAGAAUGAGCAGCACAGGCUGGGGAGCGGCGUGAGUGUGCAGCCACCUAGCUCAGGGGAGAGGGCAGCACCAGAGACCCCAAGCCUAGGGUCUCAUCUAGCCAGCCCUGUGUGCCCCACAGCUGCAGGGGGAAGUGAAGCGGGUGCUGGAGCGUCAGGAGGCCUGGCAGCAGGCACUGGUGACGCGUGUGUGAGUGGCCAUCUCACCUGGGGCCCCAUCCUGGAGCAGAGAGAACCCCUGAUCGUGGGCCUGCUGAGCCUCACCCCCGUGUCUUCAGGGCAACCCUGGGCCGGCAGCUGCAGGGAGCCCGAGAGGAGGCCAGGGCAGCCGGGCAGCGACUGGCCACACAGGCUGUGGUGA
rnacentral:sRNA from 1 species